CGUGGAUAACCUGCCUCACACAGGGGGAUAACAGUUAGAAAUGACUGCUAAUACCGCAUAAGCGCACGGCAUCGCAUGAUGCAGUGUGAAGAACUCCGGUGGUGUGAGAUGGAUCCGCGUCUGAUUAGGUAGUUGGUGGGGUAACGGCCCACCAAGCCGACGAUCAGUAGCCGACCUGAGAGGGUGACCGGCCACAUUGGGACUGAGACACGGCCCAA
rnacentral:rRNA from 1 species